rnacentral:lncRNA from 1 species
GCCGGCUUAAUUCAGUAGGAGCAUAUUUCCACAUAACUUGUCACAUCCAUGAUAAUUAUGAAACUAGCAUUUCUUGAUUUUUUCCCAUCAAAGACAUUUCUUCAUCCUGUUUUUGUUCAACUCUUUCAACUUAUUUAUCUCUUGUUCUAGCUUAUGUGCAGCCUCAUUACAUAUAUCAUCAACAACAUUUUGUAAGAAAGACUUACUGCCCCAUAACAGAGAAGGGGUUGGACCAAGUCCUAAAGCACGGAC